rnacentral:lncRNA from 13 species
AUUUGGAUACCAUUUUUUUUUUCUCUCGUCUGUCUGCUCUGGUUAGGACUUCCAGUACUAUGUUGAAGAGGAGUGGUGAGAGUGGGCAUGGUUAUCUUGGUCCAGUUCUCAGAGGGAAUGCUUUCAACUUUUCCCCAUUGAGUAUAAUGUUGGCUGUGGAUUUGUCACAGAUGGCUUUUAUUACAUUGAGAAGACACCGUUAAGAAAACAAAGAAGUGGAUGUUCCAAGAUGGCCGAAUAGGAACAGCUCUGGUGUGCAGUUCCCAGCGAGAAUACAGAGGGUGAGUGAUCACUGCAUUUCCAAAUGAGUUUUUCUGCCCAAAGACCAGGAGAU